UACGUAGGGCGCAAGCGUUGUCCGGAAUUAUUGGGCGUAAAGAGCUCGUAGGCGGUUUGUCGCGUCUGCUGUGAAAUCUGGGGGCUCAACCCCCAGCCUGCAGUGGGUACGGGCAGACUAGAGUGCGGUAGGGGAGAUUGGAAUUCCUGGUGUAGCGGUGGAAUGCGCAGAUAUCUGGAGGAAUACCGGUGGCGAAGGCGGCAUCCUGGACCGAGAUUGACACUGAUGAGCGAAAGCUAGGGGAGCAAACGGG
rnacentral:rRNA from 1 species